AUGGGCCUCUUCAGUAGCAGCAAUGGCAAGGGCAAGGGCAAGGGCACCCCCGGCACCUCGUCCUCCCGUGCUCCCCCUCCCCCUCCAUCACCGGCGCGUUUCCCCCCUGAACGCUGGCGCCUGCACAUCCCGGGGCACCAAGUGCGGUGGCAUUGGGAGUACAAGCAGCCCCUCCCCUACCCCGACGUCACAUUGCCGCACCAUUGGCAUUUGGAUCCCCAACGGAUCCCGGUGCCGGCGGUUCCGCAGACCCAGUGGACGCACGACGACGAGGUGAGCCGGCGCCGCGCGCAGCUCACGCCGGAGCAGCGUCGGUUGCCCGAGUACACCGCCGACUCUCCCAACUGGAAGGCUUGGUUCGCCCUCGAACACGAGGAGCAACGAGGCUCGGGUCUCGACGCCAUCCCUCCGCCGUUCCCACCGCCGCCCCCACAGGUAGAGCCGGAGGACAUGGAGGCGGAGGCGGAGUACCAAGCCGCCCUCGAGGAGGCCCUGUAG
rnacentral:rRNA from 1 species